ensembl:lncRNA neurofilament heavy polypeptide-like
AUGGAUGUGGAUCUUUCACCAGCGCCGAGUUCAGUAAAGAUGGGCAAUUUACCAUCAAACCAGGAGCCACUUCAGGCUGAGGCGAAGGACCAGAACGGAGGCCUGAACGGCCACGCGGUGGCCGUCACCGACGCCGGCACGGGCCCGCACGUUGAUAAGCACCUGUUACCCGACGGGUGUGUCCCGCUGAUCUCGGCACCAGAAACAAGCCCCGCCCUGCCAGGUAAGGACCCCGCCCUGGUACAGACCAACGGACACCAGUUGCCGGAGCAGCCGGAGAGCAGCGAGCCACGAGCCCCUCAAGACGCGGCAGCUGCCCCGAAACUGUUGGGAGAAGAGAAAGUCAACCUCUUCGGCAAAAUGUUCAAGAAGAAGCCUGACGCCCCGCCGGUCCCACCUGAGAAGGUGGAGGAUCUGGUGACACCGGCGGACCAGCAAACUAGCCCCAAGCGGGAGGACGCAGCUCCUGAUGUUGGUGCUGAGAAACAGCCUGAGCAACAGAUGAGUAAUGGUGCUGGUCCAGAUCCUGCAGAAGCUCCUGCAGAAGCAGCAGCGAAGCCGCCCCCCGAACAGAAAAAGCGGUUCAGCGGCCUCUUCAAGAAGAAGCCUGAGAGCCCACCUGCAGCAGAGCCUGGCGGACCACCAGGGGGGACUGAGACACCAGCUGCGGCCAAUGAGCAGCCACGUUCCAGUGAGGAGAAAUCCAAGCAUCCCAUCGCAGAUUCCAGUGGAAUGAGACCGUCAGAGAAGCAGGUAAAUGCUGCAGCUGUGGUUACCAAAGACGACCCUGGAUCAGCACCGAAAGAUGGAGAUGAAAAGCCAAAGCGCUUCGGAAAACUUUUCAUGAAGAAGAGUGGAAACACACCUGCAGUGGAGGUGGAGAUCUCGCCUGACCAGACGCCCGCUGUAGAUGUACACCUGCAGGCCGAGCCUGGGGACAUAAAGGAGGGAACAGAGCCGCAGCAGGACCCAGACCGGGAGUCUCUGGACCUCGUCCCCGCCGCCGCCCAGCUCGCGCCGCAGCCACAGGAGCAUCCAGUUAUGAACUUCUUCAAAACGCUUGUGAGUCCGACCAGAACCCCUAAAGAGGCAGCAGCAGGUCCUGAUGGUUCCAGAGAGCAGCCCCAGAAGGAGCCGGCGGCAGCCGCGCAGUCGGCCGGACAGGAAGUAGACGCGGCGAAAGCGAAGGUGCCUCCUCCUCCUCCCCCAGAGCCUCCCAAGAUGGCGGAGCCGGCGGCAAGGAAGGAGGACGUGAAGGACACGCCCAAGCAGGCGGAGCCUGCUGCUAAACCCAAGGCUGCGAAAGAGAGCCCCUUCAACAAGAUAUUCCGCCCGAAGCAGUUAGGGGAGGAGCCUGAGGCGCAGGAGGAAGUGCAGGUCGACGCGUCCAAGACGGCGACGCUGGAGGCCGCCGCCAAACCGGAGGCCCCCGCCCUCCCCGCGCCCAGAGAAGAGGAGAAGAAGUCGGAGAAACGGGCCUCGCCCUUCGCCUCCUUCUUCAAACCCAAAGUCCUGCUGGACCAGGUGGCCUCCAGGAUGCAGGCUGUGGGCAUCAGCACUCGCAUCGGCCGCCCCGCCAAGUCGUCCGCAGCGGCCCCAGAGCAGAAAAAAGACACGCCCGUCACCGCUGCUGCCCCACCCCCAGAAGCCCCCCAGGGUGCGAGGGCCAAAGAGGAUCCCAAAAGCGCGCCCCCUGCGACCCCUCCGGUCCCCGACAGCAAGCCGGCGGAGAGCGCAGAGAACGCCUCGCCCAGCACCGCCCGCAGGGAGAAGCGGAACUCCAUCCAGCUGUUCUUCAGGAACCUGGGCCAGAAGCGGCAUUCGGACGCGGGGGUGCAGACGGAAGCCCCGGCUGCGGGCUCCACGGUGGAAAGGGGCAAAUAAACCUUCAUCUGCCCCGCUUCGCCCCUUCUCCCCUUCCCGUCGGCUCCGUGUCGCGGACGUUGGCGUGUCUGAGACGCAUGCGCACACUGGCUCCUGGGCGGGGCCAGAGGCGUGACUCUAGGGGCGUGGCAGACACGAGGCACGACAUUUUUAACGUCUAUUAACGCCUUUAUUCUCACGGCAGUCGGUCCACACAGAUCCUGAAGCAUCCUCUCAACAGUCUCUGCAAUCAUCAUCAUCAUCAUUAUUAUUAUUAUUAUUACUGUUGUUGUUUUUGUCACAUUACAAACUGCUUUUCAUUUCUUUUCAGAUCACUGUGGAUGAUUUAUUUUGUGCUGCUUAAUAAACAAUUAAAUGUAUUAAUCGCUGAUCA